AUCCAGAGACGAGUCCCAAAAUAGGACGAAAUACGCAUCCUGGAU
rnacentral:hammerhead_ribozyme from 1 species